rfam:Prevotella bryantii B14 contig_106, whole genome shotgun sequence.
GGGGUUGACUGGAUUUGACAGCGGGAUGAAAUGGUACGUAAGCACGUGGAGUCUCGUUGGCUACCUCCUUAAUCGAAGUGAACAUCAAUUUAAUUGGCGAAAAUAAUUACGCUCUCGCUGCCUAAUCGAAGUACAGUAGAUUACUGGCUUUAUUCCGUCACAAGGUGAUGGAACGAGACAUCGCUCAACGGAUGUUGUUCCGAAUCUUGUUGGUUCAGCGGUGCAGGAAAUCGGAAAUAGUUCUGGUAGGCCUUGAUGCUAGGAUGAAAUUUUAGAGGAUAAGGGUAUGGUUGGUGGUUCAGGUCUUGCCAUAUCACGAAAAUGAAGGCUGAAAUAAACGUGUAGAAAGCGUAUGGUUUCCCUGUUUGGACGAGGGUUCGAAUCCCUCCAGCUCCACUG